rnacentral:rRNA from 1 species
CCUGCGGAAGGAUCAUUGUCGAAACCU